UCAAAAUCAAAAGCGUGGUGAAUCUGGGGUGUCUCUGUUCAUACUCAACCGUGUGACACCAUGUGACCUCACCACAGCCUUGGUGCUAAACACAGAAUGGGCAUUUCAGGCUGCGCGUGCCGUCUCACCACACACCAGCAAAGGCUGGCGGAGAAACCUCACCCAGAUUCAAGACUGCUGGAUGGGAUGAAUGCUGUACUGACUGAUUUUUGUGUCAGCUUGGCACAAGCCAGAGUCGUGAGAGAGGAAGAGGCCUCUGUGGAGGAAAAGCCUCAUGAUCCACCUGAAACAGAGCCUUUCUGCCUGUCCCCACCACCAUCCUUCAGUGACUAGAUGGAAGCACGCGACCAAUUCCAGCCAAUGGCCGCAAAUGCCCCAGCACACAGAACUGCCAACACAACCUCCGGAGCUCUCUUCCUCUCCCAGCCAUCGGUAAACCCAAGGUGGCAGCUAGACCACCAGCCGGGUCUGGAGUGACUUCGGUGAACAGAGCUGUUGCUAACCUUUACUGUCUGUAUUGUCUUCAACCAAUGAGACUCAAGGGUAUGUGUCUCAGUACAACAAAGCCCAUCUGGCGUGACAAAGAACUUGGGACCACACAGUCCUGGAUCCAAUCCAGCCAUUUCACUCACUGUCAGAGUGGCCCAGGCAAGUCUUUUCACUCCAGACUUCUGUCUCUUUCAUAAAAGAGAUGACCUGGGGCUGGAAAGAUGGCCAAACACAUACUACUCUUGGGGUGGGGGGGAAGACUCGAGUUUGGUUCCUAGCACUCAGAUCAAAUGGCUCCCAACCACCUGUUACUUCAGCUCCUGUGGAAUCCCAUGCCCUCUUCUGGCGUCUGUGGGAAGUGUACUCAUGUGCACAGUUCCACACAGAGACACACACGCACACAUGCUCAUAAUUUUAAAAUUAAAAAUAAAAUCUUAAAAAGAGAGAGAGAGAAGA